rnacentral:tRNA from 1 species
AGCCCUGAGGUGUAUAUCAUGUCAGAUUGCAAAUCUGAAGAAGCAGACUAAUCGUCUGCCGGGGCUU